GUUGUAAACCUCUUUUAGUAGGGAAGAAGCGAAAGUGACGGUACCUGCAGAAAAAGCACCGGCUAACUACGUGCCAGCAGCCGCGGUAAUACGUAGGGUGCAAGCGUUGUCCGGAAUUAUUGGGCGUAAAGAGCUCGUAGGCGGUUUGUCGCGUCUGCUGGUGAAAUCCCGAGGCUCAACCUCGGGCUUGCAGUGGGUACGGGCAGACUAGAGUGCGGUAGGGGAGAUUGGAAUUCCUGGUGUAGCGGUGGAAUGCGCAGAUAUCAGGAGGAACACCGAUGGCGAAGGCAGAUCUCUGGGCCGUAACUGACGCUGAGGAGCGAAAGCAUGGGGAGCGAACAGGAUUAGAUACCCUGGUAGUCCAUGCCGUAAACGUUGGGCGCUAGAUGUAGGGACCUUUCCACGGUUUCUGUGUCGUAGCUAACGCAUUAAGCGCCCCGCCUGGGGAGUACGGCCGCAAGGCUAAAACUCAAAGGAAUUGACGGGGGCCCGCACAAGCGGCGGAGCAUGCGGAUUAAUUCGAUGCAACGCGAAGAACCUUACCAAGGCUUGACAUACACCGGAAACGGCCAGAGAUGGUCGCCCCCUUGUG
rnacentral:rRNA from 1 species